rnacentral:rRNA from 1 species
UACGUAGGGCGCAAGCGUUUGUCCGGAAUUAUUGGGCGUAAAGAGCUCGUAGGCGGUUUGUCGCGUCUGCUGUGAAAUCCCGAGGCUCAACCUCGGGCUUGCAGUGGGUACGGGCAGACUAGAGUGCGGUAGGGGAGACUGGAAUUCCUGGUGUAGCGGUGGAAUGCGCAGAUAUCAGGAGGAACACCGAUGGCGAAGGCAGGUCUCUGGGCCGCAACUGACGCUGGAGGAGCGGAAAAGCAUGGGGAGCGAAACAGG